rnacentral:tRNA from 1 species
GGGGAAGUGGCUCAGUUGGGAGAGCGUUGCCUUCGCACGGCAAAGGUCGGGAGUUCGAAUCUCCUCUUCUCCACCA